rnacentral:rRNA from 1 species
GACGAACGCUGGCGGCGUGCUUAACACAUGCAAGUCGAACGGAAAGGCCCUGCUUUUGUGGGGUGCUCGAGUGGCGAACGGGUGAGUAACACGUGAGUAACCUGCCCUUGACUUUGGGAUAACUUCAGGAAACUGGGGCUAAUACCGGAUAGGAGCUCCUGCUGCAUGGUGGUGGUUGGAAAGUUUCGGCGGUUGGGGAUGGACUCGCGGCUUAUCAGCUUGUUUGUGGGGUAGUGGCUUACCAAGGCUUUGACGGGUAGCCGGCCUGAGAGGGUGACCGGCCACAUUGGGACUGAGGUACGGCCCAGACUCCUACGGGAGGCAGCAGUGGGGAAUAUUGCACAAUGGGCGGAAGCCUGAUGCAGCAACGCCGCGUGCGGGAUGACGGCCUUCGGGUUGUAAACCGCUUUCGCCUGUGACGAAGCGUGAGUGACGGUAAUGGGUAAAGAAGCACCGGCUAACUACGUG